ensembl:lncRNA
CUGUGGCUUUCGAGGCUGUUCUGGAACUAACUCUUGUAGACCAGGCUGGUCUUGAACUCACAGGGAUCUGCCUCUGCCUCUGCUGGGAUUAAAGGCUUGUGCCACCACCGCCCAGCUUCUUACAUAACAUCUUAAUGCAUACCAAUUGGGUAGUAUCAAAUGACUAGGUAUUGCAUUCCAUAAUCCCUACUACACAUUUUAAAAAUUUGGAAGUAAAUUAGGUGGAGCUAUUUCCACCUCUCCCUCCUACUAGCCUUUCAUCACAAAUGUCUCUCUAUGUGUAAUGCCUCUCUAGGCUCACACAAAUGUUGGGAGGCUCCUGCCACAGGGCCUUCAUACUUGCAAUGCACUCUGUCUGGAAUAGUGUUCUGAAUUCCCCAGUCACAUCAUAGCGCAGAGACUACCUUUUCCCUCUAGUCUGCUCACAGACAUUCCCUUUCAACCGCAUUUAUCCUCCCUUGUGACAGCCCCUACCCACAUGCCUGCUCAAGUUUUCUCCAUUAAAUGAAUUGCCAUCAGACACUAAAUAAUGCAUUUUGUUCACUCCUUACAUUAGUUUUCUAUGGGGAAAAUAAGCCAGAAACUUAAAGGCAAAAACCAAUCUGAGCAGGGUUAGAGAGAUGGCUCAGGAGUUAAGAGUACUUGCUGCUCUCCUAGAAGACUGGAAUUUGCUUCGAAGUACCCACUGGCGGCAGCUCACAAUUGCCCAUAACUCCAGUUUCAGCAGAUCAGACCCCCUUCUGAUGUCCACGGGCCCCUGCAUGUACAUAGUGCACAGAAACUCGUGUAGGCACACAUACAUGGACAUUCACAAUAAAUCUUAUUUUAAACAAUAUCAUCUUGUGUGAUGAAACAUGGUCCAGCCAGGUUUCUCUCCAUAAGGUCACCUGUUUAGCAAACUCAUUCCCAUCUGUAACUAAAUUCCCCUUUGCCAUGUAAUAUGAUAGCCAUAGGUUCUAAACAUACACUGUGUGAUUGGGGGGAAGUAUUCCAGAAGAAGGAAUGUAGCAGGGUCUUUUGUCUGUUUUGUUCAUUGCUAUGUGCCUAGACUGUUCUGCUUAGUGAGCAGGUCCUUAAAAUGGACUGAAUUUUGUCCCCUCUGAUGUAUCUGCCAAAGUCCUAGUUCUCAAGUAGAGGUGUUUAGAAAUAGGCUUUGAGGACUGAAGGAGUCACAGGACUUGUAAGGCUCUAUUAUCAAAUUAGUGGCAGAGAAGAAAGACUAAGCAGAAGAUUAUAAUGAAGAAUGGAAAGUGAUGGAGGAGCAAAGACGGGAAAACGGAGACAGUGUUUUCUCCACUAAGCAAGGACACAGCAAGAAGGCAGCCAUCUGUAAACCACGAAGAGGCCCCUCACUGGGCAGCAACCUUGCUGUCUUCCAGACCCCAACCUCCAAACUGCUCUCAGGAUGUUGUCUCCAUCACCUGGUCUAUGGUAUGUUGAUAUGGCAGCCCCAGCAAACCAACAUUAUACCCAAUAAAUACUUGUUAAGAUAAUCAGUGAAAAGCUGACUGUAAGCAUUGCAGUAUCUAAUCUCUACCACACACCCAAAGUGUGUGGCAAGUAUUUGCUAAGCACUUUGCAUGGAAUAUUUCAUUUAAUUUUCACAAGAUAUCUGGAUACUGGAUACUGGUGAGUGAGUACAGGUUUAAAAAUGGAGGUAACUUGCCUGAGGUCAAGAUUUAGAAGACAUCACAGACAGUCUUGGCAGUGGGACUUAAGCAGUGCCUGUAACCCUCACAAUUCCCUGCUAUUAUCAUGGACCUUGUCCUGAAAGCGCCUAUAAUCUAAUCAGAAUGACAAGAGAACACAAAAGCAGCAGCACAAAGAAGACUGUGGGGGGUGUUAGGAUAGAAAGUGACCAGAACUUUCUGUGGAGCUUGGAGAGAAGGCAUUGAAUGGAAUGAGAAGGAUUAUGCAGAUCCCAGGGAUGGGGCAAUUGAGCUGAUUUUGGAAAUGGUAAUCAUGGUUGGAGUUAAACCAAGAUGGAGGAAGACAGAACAAAUUGAACUAUGCUCAGGACUUAGUUAUAUGGAAAACUGCUCAUGUAGCUACAAAAUAAGGACUGGAAUCACAAAUGCCAGACUGAAGACCAAAGGAGAAUUCACAAGAUUUGGGAACAGUUAGUGGGGAAAAAGUCACCUGAAGCAACUGCUAAAAAGUAAUCUGAAGCUGUCAUUCCAAAGAGAAAGAAACCAGCUGAGAUGGCAAACGGCUUGCUCAAUACUACACAAUGAGUAAGACUGGAACACUGUCCAGCUCUUAUGCCCGUAAUUGCUCCAUGUGUCUUGACAUGUGAAGAGGCCGCAAUUGUAUAUUUGUCUCAGUUUACAACAUGGCCAGCUUUUGGCUGCUUCAGAGUCUUCUCUGGGUUUGCACUGAAUAUAACUAAGGAAUUUGAUACAGGGAGAGGACCCGUG